AUUGAACGCUGGCGGCAUGCUUUACACAUGCAAGUCGGACGAGUGGCGAACGGGUGAGUAACGCAUCUAAACGUACCGAGUAAUUGGGGAUAACUGUCCGAAAGGACAGCUAAUACCGCAUAUUAUUCCAUCGGCCGUGGUCUGAUUAGCUGGUUGGCGGGGUAAAGGCCAACAAAGGAGCCGAUCAGUAGCGGGUCUGAGAGGAGGAUCCGCCACACUGGAACUGAGACACGGCCCAGACUCCUACGGGAGGCAGCAGUGGGGAAUUUUGGACAAUGGGCGCAAGCCUGAUCGAGCAAUGCCGCGUGUCUGAAGAAGGUCUUCGGGUUGUAAAGGACUGUUGUCAGGGAAGCGGUACCUGAAGAAUAAGCACCGGCUAACUACGUGCCAGCAGCCGCGGUAAUAC
rnacentral:rRNA from 1 species